ACCCAGGUCGGGUGGGGCUACCCGCUGAGUUUAAGCAUAUAAAUAAAGCGGAGGAAAGAAAUUUAAAGGAUUCCCUUAGUAAUGGCGAGUGAACGGGAUCAGCCCACUUGAAAUCGGGUGGCUGCGUCAUCCCGGAUUGUAAUCACGGAGAAGCGUCCUCGGACGGGCCAAGACCCAAGUCCCCGGAAAGAGGCGGGGAGGUGAAACCCCGUCCGGCUCGGACCUGUCGCACCACGAGGCGCUUGUCGACGAAGUCGGGUUGUUUGGGAAUGCAGCCCCAAUCGGGCGAUAAAUUCCGUCAAAGGCUAAAUAUGGGCGAGAGCCGAUGGCGAACAAAAUACCGAGAGGAAAGAUGAAAAGGACUUUGAAAAGAGAGUCAAAGAGUGCUUGAAAUUGCUGGGAGGAAGCGGAUGGGGGCGGCGAUGCACCUUGGUCGGAUCUGGAACGGCGGUUAGCCCGGUCCGUCGCUUCGGCUUCGAAGUGCGGAUCGAUCGAGCUGCAUCGGCGGCCAAGCCCGACGGAUCGUUCGUUCGAGGGGAUACCGUCGAUGCGAUGAGGACAUGACGCUGCAUCGGCGUGCCCAGCAGGUACACCAUGCGACCUAGGCAUCGGCCCGGUGGGCUCCCCAUCCGACCCGUCUUGAAACCUGGACCAAAAGUUCGACAUGCGUGCGAGUCGGCCGGUCGCGGAAACCGGAAGGCACAAAGAAAGCUAACGGGAAGGAACCCUCUCGAGGGUUGCACGCCGGCCGACCCGAUCUUCUGUGAAAGGGUUCGAGUUGGAGCAUGCAUGUCGGGACCAAAGAUGGUGAACUAUGCUGGCGAGGCCCGAACUUGAGAAACUCGGUGGAGGCCCCGGCGAUCUUGACGUCGAUUAAUCGUUAAAACCGACUUGGGUAUAGGGCCGAAAGACUAAUCGAACCAUCUAGUAGUCGGUUCCCUCCAAAAGUUUCCCUCGGGAUAUUUGGAGCCCAUGUGCGAGUUCUAUCGGGUAAAAGCCAAUGAUUAGAGGCAUCGGGCAUCGAGAAUAGCGCCCUCGACCUAUUCUCAAACUUUAAAUAGGUAGGGCCGCGGCGCCGUUGGUUGAGGCGUCGUGGAAUCGAAAGCUCCAAGUGGGCCAUUUUUGGUAAAAGCGAAACUGGCGUCUUGGGGAUGAACCGGGAGCCCGGAUUCUGGUGCCCAACUGGCGCUAACCCGGACACCACAAAGGGUGUUGGUGGAUUAAAACGGCCGGGGCGGUGGUCAUGGAAGUCGAAAUCCACUACAGUGUGUAACAACUCACCUGCCGAAUCAACUAGCCCGAAAAUGGAUGGCGGCUGAAGCGCGCGACCCACCCAACCAUCGGUGGGCGGCGCCAAGCCCCGAUGAGUAGGAGGGCGUGGCGGUCACCGCGCAAAACCCAGAGGCUGAGCGGCGAAGCGACCGUCGGUGCAGAUCUUGGUGGUAGUAGCAAAUAUUCAAAUGAGAACUUUGAAGGCGAAGAAGGGAAAAGGUUCCAUGUGAAUGGCACUUGCACAUGGGUUAGCCGAUCCUAAGGGGCGGGGAAGCCGAUCCAGAGUGUGUCUCCACCUUGAGCUCCGAAAGGGAAUCGGGUUAAAAUUCCCGGCGGAGCCGCGGCCGGCAACGUUAGGAUGUCCGAGAGGGCGGGAGGGGCUCGGGAAGAAAAGUUAUCUUUUCGCUUAACGGCCCGCCCACCACGAAACGGCUCAGCCGGGUAGGGUCCAGAUGGUCGGAAGAAGAAGCGCCGCGUCGCCGCGGCGUCCGUCGCGCCCGGACCCCUUGAAAAUCGGAGGACCUAAAAAGCCAGCGCCCGUCGUACUCAUAACCGCAUCAGUCUCCAAGGUGAAAUGACCUCGGCCCAUGGAACAAUGUAGGCAAGGGAAGUCGGAAAAACGGAUCCGUAACCGGGAAAAGGAUUGGCUCGAGGGCAGGCACGGGGUCCCGGCCCCGAACCGUCGGCUUGUCGGCGACUGCUCGAGCUACUCUCGGCGAAAGCGGGUCGUCAGCGAUGCCGACCCGGGGCGGACCAGAGAAUAACCCCCCUCGGGGGCCUUCCGGGCGUCGAACAACCGACUUCGAGAACUGCGGACAAGGGGAAUCCGACAUUUUAAUUAAAACAAAAGCAUUGCGAUGGUCCCCGCGGAUGCUCCACGCAAUGUGAUUUACGCCCGAUGCUCAAUGUCAAAGUGAAGAAAUUCAACCAAGCGGCGGGUAAAUCGGGCGGGAGUAACUAUGACUCUCUUAAGGUAGCCAAAUGCCUCGUCAUCUAAUUAGUGGCAGCGCAUGAAUGGAUAACGAGAUUCCCAUCCCACUGUCUACUAUCCAGUGAAACCACGGCCAAGGGAACGGUCUUGGCAGAAUCAGCGGGGAAAGAAGACCACUGUUGAGCUUGACUCUAGUCCGACUUUGUGAAAUGACUUGAGAGGUGUAGGAUAACGGGGGAGCCGGUUCGGCGGAGGAAGUGAAAUACCACUACUUUUAACGUUAUUUUACUUAUUCCGUGAAGUGGGGCCGGCCCCCCUCCUUUUGGACCCCAGGCCCGCCUAGCGGGCCGAUCUGGCGGAAGACAUUGUCAAGUGGGGGAGUUUGGCUGGGCGGCACAUCUGUUAAAAAGAUAACGCAGGUGUCCUAAGAUGAGCUCAACGAGAACAGAAAUCUCGUGUGGAACAAAAGGGUAAAAGCUUCGUUUGAUUCUGAUUUCCGAUGCAAUCUGAACCGCGAAAAGCGUGGCCUAUCGAUCCUUUAGACCUUCGAAUUUGAAGCUAGAGGUGUCGAAAAGUUACCACAGGGAUAACUGGCUUGUGGCAAUAGCGUUCAUAGAGGCGUUGCUUUUUUGAUCCUUGAUGUAAGCCUCUUCCUAUCAUUGUGAAGCAGAAUUCACCAAGUGUUGGAUUGUUCACCCACCAUUAGGGGAACGUGAGCUGGGUUUAGACCAUGGUGAGACAGGUUAGUUUUACCCUACUAAUGAUCGUGUCAUUGAUAGCAAUUCAACCUAGCGAGAGGAACCGUUGAUUCACACAAUUGGUCAUCGCGCUUGGUUGAAAAAAAGUAUGCCGGUUACCGUGUGUGUCGGAUUAUGACUGAGCAUACCUCUAAAAUCAGAAUCUAGCUAGCAUCCGGCGCCUCGCCGUCGUUCGCCUCCCCGACCCACAGUGGGGGGCCUUUGGCCCCAUGGGCUCGUAAUAUUGGUGUAGCCCCUCGUGGUGGUAUAGCCAUGGGCGACCAUCGGAAGUGAAAUUCAUACGGACGACGACGGGCGAAUCGCUUUGCGCACGACUUAAAUCUGGCGAUGGGGCAUUGUA
rnacentral:rRNA from 1 species